rnacentral:rRNA from 1 species
AUGUCCUGGAGUAUGUAUCAUGACUGGUUUUUGGUUUUUUCAUUUUUUUUCUUUCGCAUACCAACAUGGUCUACUUUAGUAACAAAUAACAUAAAUAACAUGGUCUCUUCUCAAAUUAAAAAGCAUUCAAGUCUUCUCACAAUCAUCAAAAUCAUCAGGGAGUUUAGUGAGAUCAAGCUCAGCCAUAUGCAUAUUUUUAGAAGAGGGAAGAAAAUUCUGUAUAAGCGACAAAAUGUAAAUAAAACAAUGAAAACAUCUAUUUUUUCACUCUCUUUACUACUAGCCAGCUUGGCAUAUCAUGUUUACUACUAG